rnacentral:rRNA from 1 species
UACGUAGGCAGCAAGCGUUGUUCGGAGUUACUGGGCGUAAAGGGUGUGUAGGCGGUUGGAUAAGAGGGGUGUGAAAUCUCCCGGCUCAACUGGGAGGGUGCGCCGAAUACUGAAAGACUAGAGUGCGGGAGAGGAAAGUGGAAUUCCUGGUGUAGCGGUGAAAUGCGUAGAUAUCAGGAGGAACACCGGUGGUGUAGACGGCUUUCUGGACCGUAACUGACGCUGAGACACGAAAGCGUGGGUAGCAAACAGG